rnacentral:rRNA from 1 species
GUGAACGCUGGCGGCAGGCCUAACACAUGCAAGUCGAACGGCAGCACAAGAGAGCUUGCUCUCUGGGUGGCGAGUGGCGGACGGGUGAGGAAUGCAUCGGAAUCUGCCCAUUUGUGGGGGAUAACCUCGGGAAACCGGGACUAAUACCGCAUACGACCUACGGGUGAAAGCAGGGGAUCUUCGGACCUUGCGCAGAUGGAUGAGCCGAUGCCGGAUUAGCUAGUUGGAGGGGUAAAGGCCCACCAAGGCGACGAUCCGUAGCUGGUCUGAGAGGAUGAUCAGCCACACUGGGACGGAGACACGGCCCAGACUCCUAAGGGAGGCAGCAGUGGGGAAUAUUGGACAAUGGGCGCAAGCCUGAUCCAGCCAUGCCGCGUGUGUGAAGAAGGCCUUCGGGUUGUAAAGCACUUUUGUUGGGAAAGAAAAGCAGCCGGUUAAUACCCGGUUGUCAUGACGGUACCCAAAGAAUAAGCACCGGCUAACUUCGUG